rnacentral:rRNA from 1 species
AGUGGCGUCCGGGUGAGUAACACGUAGCUGACCUACCCUUCGCAGGGGGAUAACGCCCCGAAAGGGGUGCUAAUACCGCGUACGCUCGUGGGGAUUAGAAGCCCAUGAGGAAAGUUUUGGCGGCGAAGGAGGGGGCUGCGAUCCAUCAGCUAGUUGGUGAGGUAACGGCUUACCAAGGCGACGACGGAUAGGGGGCCUGAGAGGGUGACCCCCCACACUGGUACUGACACACGGACCAGACUCCUACGGGAGGCAGCAGUAAGGAAUAUUGCGCAAUGGGCGAAAGCCUGACGCAGCAACGCCGCGUGCGGGAAGAAGGGCUUCGGCUCGUAAACCGCUUUUCUGCCGGAAGAGGAAGGACGGUACGGCAGGAAUAAGUCUCGGCUAACUACGUGCCAGCAGCCGCGGUAAAACGUAGGAGGCAAGCGUUAUCCGGAUUUACUGGGCGUAAAGCGCGUGCAGGCGGUCUGGUCAGUCGUGCGUGAAAGCUCCCUGGCUCAACCGGGAGAGGUCGUGCGAUACUGCCAGACUAGAGGCAGGCAGAGGCAAGUGGAAUUCCGGGUGUAGUGGUGAAAUGCGUAGAGAUCCGGAGGAACACCAGUGGCGAAGGCGGCUUGCUGGGCCUGACCUGACGCUCAGACGCGAAAGCAUGGGUAGCGAACGGGAUUAGAAACCCCGGUAGUCCAUGCYGUAAACGAUG